UCGUUAGCUCAGUCGGUAGAGCAUCUGACUUUUAAUCAGGCGGUCGGGCGUUCGAAUCGC
rnacentral:tRNA from 1 species